UCCGGUUUGUCACCGGCAGUCUCCCUAGAGUUCCCAUCCGAAAUGCUGGCAACAUAGGGCAAGGGUUGCGCUCGUUACGGGACUUAACCCAACAUCUCACGACACGAGCUGACGACAGCCAUGCAGCACCUGUCUUACGGUUCCCGAAGGCACCAAUCCAUUUCUGGAAAGUUCCGUAGAUGUCAAGACCAGGUAAGGUUCUUCGCGUUGCAUCGAAUUAAUCCGCAUGCUCCGCUGCUUGUGCGGGCCCCCGUCAAUUCUUUUGAGUUUUAGCCUUGCGGCCGUACUCCCCAGGCGGAACACUUAUCGCGUUGGCUUCGGCACAGACAGAUUCGACUCCGCCCACACCUAGUGUUCAUCGUUUACGGCGUGGACUAC
rnacentral:misc_RNA from 1 species